UGUUCCUCGGGGAGAGCCCAUUGGGCACAACCACACCCCUAGCCUCAGUCCACAGCCGCCAUGCCCUCACUCCUCCUCGCCGCCACACCCCCUUCCUCCUCCUCCUCCUCCUCCUCCUCCUCGCUGCCACACUCCCUCCCUCCUCCUACCUACUCACCAUAGCCCGCCAUAAGCGGCUCCCUCCUCACCACGGCCCCGCCAUAGGCGGCUCAUGCGAUGGUGGAACGGACGGCGGCCUCAGCGUGUGGGCGGCGGCGGCCCAUCUGGUGAACGAGCCCGCACCUCCCUGCCCUCCUCAUCACCCUUCCCUCCUUGGCUUAAUGGGAGGUUCGUGGGGCACCUCUCAGGCUGCUGCUGCCUCUUCCGCCCAGCAGGACGAGCACAAGGUACACAUGAAUCUACGAUCCAGAUUCUAGCUACAUCCUUUACUACAACAAUAUCAGUCUAUACUGAAAAGUGUACUGCUUAUAUAGCUGAUAUCUUUAAUUCAUAUGGUCGGCCGCUGGAUGCUGACUGGUCUUUGGUUCAUAUGGUCACUGGCAAGAAGCUUGUUGCUAUGUUUGGUUCAUAUGGUCGUCGACUGGAAGCUCGCGCUCUGAAUGAUCUCAUUCUCUAUGGCCGACAAUACACACUUUUCAUUACUACCAGCCGGGUCUUCUCAGAGUGAUUGAAUAAAUUCCAUUCCUUCGUGCUGCAACCUUCCAUGAUUUUUGCUCAAAAUGGCAUAAUAUGCCACUUGCGCCACCAUUGAUCUUUGAAAUUUAGUUACUCCAGUUUUUCGUAGAUAACAAUUGUGUAGUCUUUGUCCUUUCCACUUACCAUUACCAUUUUUGUGAUGAUACUUCACUAGAAAUUUGUUUGGUACUCCUCAUCUAAAAUAUAUUCAGAACGAGGUCACUUUUGCAAUGCAUGGGAGUUUAGUUUUUGUUGCAUGCGCAGUUAUAUAUGUUUAGUCAUUUGUAUUGAGAGGUCAGUGCGUCUUGGUUGUUUCUGUUGUUGAUCCAGGAGGUUCUUGGUUGCUUGGUGUUUUUGCUACACGUGCAGUACUAUAAUAUGCUAACCCAUAUAACGAUGAAGUAUAUUCUGUUUCGUAGAUGAGCAAAGUUUGCUGCAUGCAUAGUAUAUAUAUGUUUUCUUACAAAUAUAUGUAUGCCAUUAACUGCUAUCAUUGUGUUUUACAGGGGUUCAUGGGCCAUCAUGAUGAUAAUACUUAAUUCUUUAAACAAGAAUGGUAAGAACUAAGGAGGGUUGUCUUGUACAAGAGCUCUGCCGCGAUGGCAUCACCACUCAGUGAUGCCUUAGUAGGAAGGCCAAUCGCGGGGAGGUGCGACAUGGGUGGCCUAAAGAGCUAAUUUGGUGCUCUCUCUCUUUGCCUCUUGUUUCCUCCGGCACCCUGAUUUUGAUGGCUAAUAUAUUGACUUUCUAAACAUCUUUAAUUUAUAAGUAAUGUAGUAGUUAUAUGCUUUUCAUUUAUGAUAGAGAGAUUGAAUUAGGGUGUUUUGCUUGCUGCCUUGUAGGGAAAUGUACCCUGUUGCAGUUCCUCUGUCUUCACGAAUUACUAUCCAACUAUUAAGUCUGUUCUAAACUCUCAGCCCCAUGUAAAUCUGAUGGAAGAUUGGGCCAUUUAAUUUGAAACAAAAAGGGUAAUAUGCUCUCAGUUGCUUGAAUCUGUCCAGACCUGAAAAAUAGAUAUACUUUGAAAGCUUGAUAUAUGAGUAUGUAACUGAAGGAGUAGACAUUUCUUGUUCUUGGUCGUCGCAGCUUUUGUUUAUUCCAUUAAAAAGAGAUGGAUUACAAUUACUUGACACGCACAUCCACACCCGAGCGCAAUGUCUGUUAGUCCAGGCUGGAGCAUAGAUUGGGGUGACAUAAAUAUAUGAGUUGUUCAGAAAAUAACAAAUGGAACUCCCAGACACCGCCACCUCUGCAUCCACCUUGCUCCGCAUAGCAGCAUGUGUGUGGAAGCGGGGACAUGCGAUCAUUAGUAGAUGGCGUCGGCGGCAAUGGCAACAUGCAUGGUACACGAAGUUCGAUAACAUGGGCGCAACCUCCCCAUAGGCAUUCCAGGAUGGUGUGUCCACCAGCUUGGAACGCGCCCUCCCGGCGCACAGAAGGUAUGCCUCAGAGCACGCCAGCGGCAAUGUGCACCACGAGGCCCCGAAGCAGCCCAGCCAGUACAGAGCCCCUCCGUACAGGAGGAACCCUGCCACCGUCGGAGCCAGCAACGUUGACGCGUAUGAGAGCUCGGCCAUGGUGGCCCGCGCACCGAAUAGGAGGAUCAUGUCCGCGCUAGAGGGCAGCAACGAGCACAUCGGUGGCACAAGGAGGUGUGCAGGAUCUGCACCGACAGAAGGUGUCUCCGGCUCUCCGCAUAGCAGCAUGUGUGUGGUGGCGGGGACAGGCAACCACAUGCAAAUUUUGAGGAGCGACAUGAGCAUCAAGCAAUGGCUGAUGCCAAGGGAUUAUAGCAACGAGAAUGCUCAACGUACGGGCAGUUUUCACAGAAUCACUCCUACGGACGGACCUGCCCCUCCCUAAUUCGACCACCACCUCGUGCAUUUCAUGGUGGGGUCCGCCUACCCCUAAUCACUUCAUGCCAUCUCACCCUGUAACUUCUAAUCCGUAAAAAUUAUAGGUAAGUCUAGCAUCGCUGUUGUAGCAAGCAACCGUAGGUGCGUGAGUUCUUUCUUCUUGCAUGAAAUUGUUCUACUAAUUCACUUUGUUCUUGUUUUAUCCUUUUUUUUACUUUCCAAUUUCGAUGCAAUGGAUAUUUAUUGUGGUAGUUUAGAUAGCACCUUAUAUUUCUUUGGUUUUAAUAAAGUAAACUAGAGCAGUGGUAUGUGCAUAUUCAAAUAAUAAUGGAAAAUAAUUUUUUCGUGCUGCAAAAUAUAUCUCAAAACCUUCCCCAUUUUUGUUUCCAGAGGACAAAGGACAUCUUGUAUUAGUUAGCUUCUUUUUACAGUUCCUAUCCAUUGAACUAUAUGCAGUUUUCAGCUAGACCUCUUUUUACAGUUCCUAUCCAUUGAACUAUAAGAAGAAAAAUCUCGAGGCAGCUAUUGAUUAAUGUUUUUCUUUUCAUUUUUUUGUUUGGACUUGCAAAGUUAUUUCCAUCAAUUUUUUCUUUACUUGGUGCCCAGGUAGUGUUCAUUACUAUGUUCAAACACUUCAAAGUAUGCUCAGAUUAUCUAUCAGAUCGUGAAAUUCACUUCUUUUAUAAGCCUAUCCUUAGGAACACUGGAGAGAUGAAGUUCAAUCAACAGUACAAACUUCUAUUGAGUAGGUUCAUUGUUAGGUUCAGAUAUAAUUAUGUGUCUUGAAUUCUUGUUAUUUUCCAUUUCUUAUAGGAACUAAAUCAUCUGUGGCAUACUUGGUUUCUCAUAUUGUUUUUGGUUAUAAUUUAAAUUGACCUUAACCCAAACAUCUGAAAAUGAAAUUAAAGUAUGACAGAGAAAAUGUGUAGGCAUGAACUCCGGUAUGCCUAUUGUGAGUGAGACCGCUUCACUUUGUUUCCAAUAUAGUAGAUGCCGGAAGUGGUACUCUUACAUACAACCUUCAGAGAUGUAUAUGUAGCCAUUUCCUCUAUACAAAGGAAUGAUAUUUUAGUUGGUUGUGAGUUUCAUUGCUGGAGAGGACCGAUGAUCAUCAUUUGCAAGUUCAUUUUUAGGUACCUAUGUAUUAUUCUCAUGCUCCCCUUUAGGUGAUCUACCUAGGCUAUGCACGGACAUAUAGUAUUGCCAUGUUCUCCUUGUUCAUACAUCAUCAAUCGUUGCUACCAAAUUGAUGUUCUGUUGCUCUAUGUACUUGUAUUAUAGACUGCCAUUUGUUUUGUCAAACAGUUUGUUUGCCGUAUGUACUGGUGUUACAGACUACUAUUUGUUUUGUCUAGCUUAGUAAGUAAUUCAUUUGGUUAUGCCCUUUUUCUUUUUCAGUUAUCAUUUGCCAACCUCUUCAUUAUCGGACUAUACACAUGUGGUGACGUAUGCGGUCAUCGGGAGCGGCUGUAUUGUUUGGUCCUCAACAAUUUUGGCUGAAGACUCCUGGGCUUUACCAUUGCGAAAUCAUGUGAGAAGAGGUGUUCCAGGAAUUCUUUGAAAGGCAUGUGUAUACAGACCAUGUGUCUCACUAUCGUUUUUUUGUCUUUUUGAGUUGCUGAAAAGAUCUUAGGAUGUUUGAUUAGUUUCAACUCAGAUGAAGUUGUUAGGAUGAUUAGUUUGCAGCUUCUGCAAAAUGUAUUGUGAUGGAUUCAGAUAGAUUCUGGAGUGAUGCAACCCUUUGUACUGUGUGUUCCUCAUUCUUGCUGACUUUCUUCAUGCACCA